AGCAGUGGCCGGUGACAGUUCACAUCGUGGCCGCUCCAGGCUCAUCAGUUGAGAACUUACUAUGUGCUGGGCACUGUGUUAAGGAAAAUACAUAUUAGCAAACUCUUUCAACCAGCCAGUGUUGCGCUAAAGCUGCUGCUUGCCUCUUCCUUUUCAUGCUACCAAAGCGGAGUUCAGCACAACAGAAACAGAUGGACAGAAAGUUUCAGAAGACAUGGGAUUUUAAAAACCACCGAUCUGUUAGGAAACAGCCUUGUUUCCUCAUUUCCACGGAACAAUACUGUUCUGCAGGAUGACCAAGUGAACACUGCAAUUACUGGGAGGUUUUAUAGACACCAUAAAAUUGUAAAACUGCAGAGGUGAUUUCAGUAAUUUAUUGCUGGCUUCUUCAGCUCCCAGACCAAGUUGUAUACAGACAUGAAGGUAAGCUUUCUUCAAUCCUGUGGACAAUGGCAACACCUCAGGAGAUGGUGAAGAAAUAAGAUGGUAGGACCUUGAGUCCCUGAAUGACUGUGUGGAGCAGCACUGCCCUUCCAGUUCUGUACACUCACCUCAGGACUACUUCAGGAGGGAAAUACAAACUCUAAUUGAAGGCAUUCUCUUUUCAUUGUCUCU
rnacentral:lncRNA from 1 species